AUACGUAGGGGGCAAGCGUUAUCCGGAAUUAUUGGGCGUAAAGAGUACGUAGGCGGUUUCUUAAGCGUGGGGUGAAAGGCUAUGGCUUAACCAUAGUAAGCCUUGCGAACUGAGAGACUUGAGUGCAGGAGAGGAAAGCGGAAUUCCUAGUGUAGCGGUGAAAUGCGUAGAUAUUAGGAGGAACACCAGUGGCGAAGGCGCUUCUCUGGACUGUAACUGACGCUGAGGCUCGAAAGCGUGGGGAGC
rnacentral:rRNA from 1 species